rnacentral:rRNA from 1 species
CCUACGGGAGGCAGCAGUGGGGAAUAUUGGACAAUGGGGGCAACCCUGAUCCAGCCAUGCCGCGUGUGUGAAGAAGGCUUUCGGGUUGUAAAGCACUUUCAGUGAGGAGGAAAAGUUGGUCGUUAAUACCGGCCAGCCUUGACGUUACUCACAGAAGAAGCACCGGCUAACUCCGUGCCAGCAGCCGCGGUAAU